UUCACCUAACAUCCCCAACCCAUCACCAGUAUUGAAUAAAUUCAUAACCUAUGAAAACUAUUAUGCUAGAACUAGUAACAAGAAAAUGAAUUUCUCCAAAUUGUAAGCAUAAACCAAAAUGGACACUACACUGGUGAUUAACGACUAUGAACCCGUUAUAGUAACAUAACUAGAAAAUCCUAUAUUUAAUCCCGUUAACCUUACACAAGAACUCUACUGGAAAGAUUAAAAGGAAGAGAAGGAACUCGGCAAAUCUUAACCCCGCCUGUUUACCAAAAACAUCGCCUCUUGAUCAGAUAUAAGAGGUCCAGCCUGCCCAGUGUUUUAGUUUUAAUCAACGGCCGCGUGAUUUAAACGCGCGAAGGUAGCAUAAUAAUUUGUUCUUUAAAUGAGGACUUGUAUCAAUGGCAUCACGAGGGUUAUACUGUCUCCUCUCCCCAAUCAGUGAAACUAAUCUCCUUGUGAAAAAGCAAGGAUAAGAUCAUAAGACGAGAAGACCCCAUGGAGCUUAAAACACGCAACAACCCUAAUACCAUAACCAAUUUAAUUUUAAGCCCUGUAUGCUAGUUUUAGGUUGGGGUGACCACGGAGUAAAACAAAGCCUCCACAACGAAAAGGGAUUAUACCCUUAUCUAAGAGAUACUCCUCUAAGAAUUGUUAAAAUAACGUCCAAUGAUCCGACUAUCGACCAAUGAACCAAGUUACCCUGGGGAUAACAGCGCAAUCCACCCUGAGAGCCCCUAUCGACGAGUGGGCUUACGACCUCGAUGUUGGAUCAGGAUAUCCCAGUGGUGCAGCCGCUACUAAAGG
rnacentral:rRNA from 1 species